ACUCCUACGGGAGGCAGCAGUGGGGAAUAUUGCACAAUGGGGGAAACCCUGAUGCAGCCAUGCCGCGUGUGUGAAGAAGGCCUUCGGGUUGUAAAGCACUUUCAGUAGGGAGGAAGGUAGUGUAGUUAACACCUGCAUUAUUUGACGUUACCUACAGAAGAAGCACCGGCUAACUCCGUGCCAGCAGCCGCGGUAAUACGGAGGGGGUUAGCGUUGUUCGGAAUUACUGGGCGUAAAGCGCACGUAGGCGGAUCGGAAAGUUGGGGUGAAAUCCCGGGGCUCAACCCCGGAACGGCCUCCAAAACUAUCGGUCUAGAGUUCGAGAGAGGUGAGUGGAAUUCCGAGUGUAGAGGUGAAAUUCGUAGAUAUUCGGAGGAACACCAGUGGCGAAGGCGGCUCACUGGCUCGAUACUGACGCUGAGGUGCGAAAGUGUGGGAGCAAACAGGAUUAGAUACCCUGGUAGACAUCA
rnacentral:rRNA from 1 species